UACAGAGGAUGCAAGCGUUAUCCGGAAUGAUUGGGCGUAAAGCGUCUGUAGGUGGCUUUUUAAGUCUGCCGUCAAAUCCCAGGGCUUAACCCUGGACAGGCGGUGGAAACUACCAAGCUGGAGUACGGUAGGGGCAGGGGGAAUUUCCGGUGGAGCGGUGAAGUGCGUAGAGAUCGGAAAGAACACCAACGGCGAAAGCACUCUGCUGGGCCGACACUGACACUGAGAGACGAAAGCUAGGGGAGCGAAUGGG
rnacentral:rRNA from 1 species